ACCAGGCGUCGAGCGGCGAACGGGUGAGUAAUGCAUCGGAACGUGCCCAGUCGUGGGGGAUAACGUAGCGAAAGUUACGCUAAUACCGCAUACGACCUACGGGUGAAAGCAGGGGAUCUUCGGACCUUGCGUUAUUGGAGCGGCCGAUAUCUGAUUAGCUUGUUGGUAGGGUAAAGGCCUACCAAGGCGACGAUCAGUAGCUGGUCUGAGAGGACGAUCAGCCACACUGGAACUGAGACACGGUCCAGACUCC
rnacentral:rRNA from 1 species